rnacentral:rRNA from 1 species
GAACCUGCGGAAGGAUCAUUACCUAGAGUUGUAGGCUUUGCCUACCAUCUCUUACCCAUGUCUUUUGAGUACCUUCGUUUCCUCGGCGGGUCCGCCCGCCGAUUGGACAAACUUAAACCCUUUGUAAUUGAAAUCAGCGUCUGAAAAAACAUAAUAGUUACAACUUUCAACAACGGAUCUCUUGGUUCUGGCAUCGAUGAAGAACGCAGCGAAAUGCGAUAAGUAGUGUGAAUUGCAGAAUUCAGUGAAUCAUCGAAUCUUUGAACGCACAUUGCGCCCCUUGGUAUUCCAUGGGGCAUGCCUGUUCGAGCGUCAUUUGUACCUUCAAGCUCUGCUUGGUGUUGGGUGUUUGUCUCGCCUCUGCGUGUAGACUCGCCUUAAAACAAUUGGCAGCCGGCGUAUUGAUUUCGGAGCGCAGUACAUCUCGCGCUUUGCACUCAUAACGACGACGUCCAAAAAGUACUUUUUACACUCUUGACCUCGGAUCAGGUAGGGAUACCCGCUGAACUUAAGCAUAUCAAUAAGCGGAGGA